AUUGAACGCUGGCGGCAGGCCUAACACAUGCAAGUCGAACGAGUGGCGGACGGGUGAGUAAUGUCUGGGAAACUGCCCGAUGGAGGGGGAUAACUACUGGAAACGGUAGCUAAUAACGCAUACCAUCGGAUGUGCCCAGAUGGGAUUAGCUUGUAGGUGAGGUAACGGCUCACCUAGGCGAAGCUACCUAGCUGGUCUGAGAGGAUGACCAGUCACACGGGAAAUAAGACACGGUCCAGACUCCGACGGGAGGCAGCAGUGGGGAAUAGUGCACGAUGGGCGCAAGCCGGAUGCAGCCAUGCCGCGUGUAUGAAGAAGGCCUUCGGUUUGUAAAGUACUUUCAGCGGGGAGUCGUUACCCGCAGAAGAAGCACCGGCUAACUCCGUGCCAGCAGCCGCGGUAAUUC
rnacentral:rRNA from 1 species